CUGUGGUGCACAGAAGUGGGAUGGAAACAAAAUACAGAGGCAAUGCCCACCAAAUCUUGGUGGUUGAGGAACUGCUGAACACCUUGAUGGACAGGACUGGGAUACAGAAGAGCUUCUUCAACAGGAUGUGACUGGUUUGACUGAAUAUGAGAGAGGAGUUUUCCCCAGGAUCUUCAGAUGUGACCCUCAAGGACAGUGGUGGCAUCAAAGGGCACUUGACAUUUUCUGGGACUUGGAUAUCCAUGGCUUAUUAUGAGGAACAGAAUACAGAGUUGAAGGUCCUGUACUGAGAAAUCCCUGGCUCUGGACCCAUAAAUAAAUCACCCUUUAUGAAACUUGCUCACAUCUGUGCUGUCUCAAGCACGGGCAGAGGGAAGCUGUCAGCCUGGGCACAGAUCUUCACUGGCACAGAAGGAAUAGUCUGGAAGGAAGAGAAUGACACAUAUCAUGCCUUUACUUUGUACAGCAAUCUCGAUAUUUUGUAUGUACUUAUUGCUCUGAGUUUGUCUCCCUUUCCCACCUGUACUUACACUGUCUUUUUUCUGAGGCUUGUUAUUAUUUCUAUUGAGCAAUCUUCAGCCGAACUGGGAGAGCUCGCAGUGACUCACUUACUUGAACAUUAUUGCCUAGUUCUUUACACAAGACAGAUUGGAUAUGAAUGAGAUCUCUUGUCCUCAUGAGCAUUAUAUUUAUUUCACAAGACAUUUUCUUCAGAACUCUCCCUGCAAUAAAUUAUGUGGUAUAUUUAUUUUUUUCUUCUACCGUGCUAUAGCUCUGUCCCUUUUUUUGUUGUUUCUCAUUUUUAGACACUUCUUCUUCUAUGAUCUGCUGUUGUUGUUUUCUGGUUUUUUUUCUUCUCACAAUCUCUUAGCUGUAUCUUUGGAAUUUUUUCCCUUGUGCAUUUUUUAGCACAGUGCAUGCAUUCAAUGUACUCAAAAUGAGAGCUUGAGAUAAGUAUUUAAAGUAACAAAAUGAUUUCCCUCUCUUAUCUUUCAGA